UACGAAGGGGGCUAGCGUUGCUCGGAAUUACUGGGCGUAAAGGGCGCGUAGGCGGCGAUCUCAGUCAGGCGUGAAAGCCCCGGGCUCAACCUGGGAACUGCGCUUGAGACGGGAUUGCUUGAGGGCGAGAGAGGGUGGUGGAAUUCCCAGUGUAGAGGUGAAAUUCGUAGAUAUUGGGAAGAACACCGGUGGCGAAGGCGGCCACCUGGCUCGCACCUGACGCUGAGGCACGAAAGCGUGGGGAGCAAACAGG
rnacentral:rRNA from 1 species